GGGCCCGUAGUUAAGUGGCAUAACGCCACAUUCGCAUUGUGGAGGCAGGAGUUCGAUUCUCCUCGGGUCCACGA
rnacentral:tRNA from 2 species